AUACGGACGUGGAAUUUUCUCGUGCUGUGUUUUUGUCUACCGCCCGUCAGCAUUUUCAAAAAGUUUGUCUUUUUUGCCAAAAAAAAAGAAUGACUUGAGAACUCGUGUGAAAAGUUUGUCAAAUCCAUUACAGUGAAAAGGCGUGUAUAGAAACUAGAAAUAAUGACGGCAUUAUUUAUCUUGUGUUUGAGUGUUUGGCUUUUUCACAAAAAUCUUCCGGACGGGGUGAUAGCAAAAUGUGUACCGCGAUUAAAAAGUUAAAUUUACACGGCGACUCGGAUUGCAGGGCGUGUGAAAAACGAAGAUAUCCGCCGGUUCAUUGCUAUAGGAAAACGUGAUUAGUGGGAUAUCAAUCAGAAGAUUGCAAUCAUUGGGAAUGAAGCAAGAUUUUCAUAGAAAUUGCGGAUGAAUUUGUUUGCCUUUUGUCAUUUAAACUGUGCCACAGGACACAAGACACGUUAUAUGCGAUUCGGAUGAAAAGUUAGAUUAAUGCUCAAGCACCCGUCUUCAAGUUAUAAUACGAAUCAAACCACCAGUUAUCAAGAUUCAACUACUGGACGUCACUGAAGCAGGGAAAUCGCUCCUCAAACGGAACUAACGAUGGACCUUUCAAAUUUGGUGAGAAUGUUUCAUGCUUCUUCUUUUACUUGUUCUAUUUUUAAUACCCUAUAUUGUUAUAUAACUACAUAAAAGUUGAAAAUUCGCUAUUUUCAACAUCCUUUCAUCUAUUGGAAGCUGCUUCAGUUCUGGGCUCUUUCUAAGUUGAUGAAGGGAUUUAUAAAUGCUUGCAAGGACUUGGCCAGGUGUGUGGAGCUGAGUAAGUCUAUGGCAUUGUAGAUAGUAGCGAAAUCACCAAUGUCAAUGGAUAUAUUCAACUUUGCAACUCCAUCCAAGAUUUGUGCAAGUAUUCAUGCUAUGCUAUGCUAUGCUAUGCUAU